rnacentral:lncRNA from 1 species
UAAUCUUUGUUGAGGGGACUACCAUCUAAACCACCAAGGGUAAGGAUGGCCCUAGUAGUAGGAUAAUCUUUGAGAGCAUGGAUGAGACAAUGUGGGUCAUUUUUUAUUUAAUCGGAAAAAUUUAAAUAAUGUGGUAAUUGUAAGGGCCCGAUUUUGUCCGGGCCCUAAACAGAAAAUAAAAAUAAAAAUAAAAAUUAACAGUCCUAAAGUCCAUUUACAAAAAAAAAAUCAGGCCCAAACAGCCCAAAUCAAUAACCUAAAGCCCGAUAGCCCCC